rnacentral:pre_miRNA from 1 species
AUGUGCUGUGGGCUCAGGAGACAGAGCUCUAGGUAUCUCACCAUGGACUGGACCCCUCAUCUGCUCCCCCUCCUCACUCUUUACUCAGGUGC